UUGCGUACAUCAGGCAGCUCCCCAGGCUGGGACCGUCAGCUCUUACUCACUCUUCCCGAGGAGAAGCUUAAUUAGCCUCCCAGCAGCCAGGAUCACCCCAGAUGAAAGGUGCUGAAUGCGAGUAUAAGGUGUGACCCCCAUAUUUAUAACCGAGGCUCCCUUAGGUGAGAAAGGCCGGGGGCGGAGAGGCAGGCCAGAUCAGGGCCUUGCCUUGUUUAUGACAGAGGUUCUCAGGAAAAGGAGCUGGCUGUGGAUCCUGGACUCCCUCGAUGACCGGCAGCACUUGGUGGGCAGCUGCAGGCACCCACUCUUCUCCACACAGCACCCUGGACAGAGAGGUCAGCCGCUGAGGCAGGUAACGCUGAGGCAGGCAGACUCAGAGACGGGGUCAAAGGGCAGAGUCUACGGCACAGGACUCUUGAUCGAUACACGUCUGGCAAAGCAGAUGCCGCAAGAACUGUCCUUGUCCCCUUGGAUCCUGCUGGGACUCCUGAAGUCGGGUCCAGUGAGGCCAAGAAGUGCAUAGCCACCAGGCUAAGGACAGUUGCCGAGGCUGCUCUCUGAGCUCAGCUGGCAUUUCCUGGAGCCCUUCCAAGUGAAGUGCCCGGUGACCGUUUUACAGCUGAGGAGACUUGGGACAAACAAGCAACACCAAAAAGGUCACAGCGAGUUCAUGGCAGGAAAGAGAUGUGGACUAUGUGAAUCUGUUCCCCAGAUGGCCUCACCUGGCACCAUGUCGAGGAAGAAGGCUGCUUCACGGGAGAGAUGUCGGCUCCCUCACCUCUGAUGUCACUUCUCAGCACAUGUUCCCAAGUAAGGGUGAGGUAAUCUAGUCACUGGGUCCCAGGCCAGUGUGUCUACAGAGAUUACAUUCUUGGGAAUUCUAGUCCCUGCCAACCAUGGGCCUUGACAUUCCUGGAGCCCUAGGAGCAGGCCAGGGAAGGAGUGCUGUUUCCAGCCAACAGCCCUGGGCAGCACACUGGGACCCCCCAGCGGAAGGGCCGCUCAGUCAUCAGGCAAUCAUGAAGACCUUCUUUAUGCCCAGAGCCUUGUAGUCCCUACUUAAGGGACCUCCAUUCCCGGGACAGAAGCGGGUGCUGAGCCAGGGAGCAGGGCAGUGGGAGUUCCCAAGAGCCAACGACGACAAACCGGAGCUCACAAAGGCAGUGGUGGGCACCAUCUCACACAGGGUGCCCCUCACCUCAGAGGAGAGGAUCUGUAGCCUCAAGGAUGCUAAGAUGCGAGUGGCCCUGCCAACGCUCAGCUUCAGUGCCACACAACCUGUUACGCCUGCCUAGGAUGUCCACUUGGCAAUGCCCAGACAAGAUGGUGUGCGCUGUCAGUGUACCCUGUUCAGGCCACGUCUCUGCCUGGGGCUGGAAAUUCAUUUCAUUCAUUCAUUCAAUGCCAGUCGCUCUACCGGGCAACAAGGAUAUAAAGACAGCACAUAAUAACAAGUGCUUAGUCGCUGUGCUCUAGAGAACUUAAAACAGAGCAAGGUUAGGGGUGUCAUUCUGGUAGAACGCUUGCAUGGUGCAUGAGAGCCCUGGGUUUGACCCUCAGCGCUGCAAAAAAAAAAAAAAAAAAAAAAGGAAUAGCUAAGUAUUAAGGUGGCGUGAGGGCCAGACCAGCAACGGCCACAUGACAUCAGCAGGGGCAGUACCCAACCUGGAGGCAGCUGGAGCUGGUAGCUGUAGCUUGCAUCCCACAAGCCCCCACCACCUAUCUCAGGCCUUCUCCUCCAAAGCAGGCGCCCCUGUCUGCACCACUACCUGUACCGGUACCUGGAAGGCAGGCGGCAUUGCCCAGCCAACGAAUCAGAGAAGGGGAGAACGUGUCCCACCACAACUCACCGGGGCCCCGAGGCGUCACUCCAGGAGACAGUGUGGGCUGCUGGGCUGAGCUGAAUGGCCAGGGGCUCUCUCUGGAUGGAACGCUGUCACCAUUCCCUCACAACAGAGCUCUAGCCAGGUUCUAAGCAUGUAUGUCUUAAACUACUAAGAUUUUACUUAUGACUUUCCCAAGGCCACGGGGCUAGCGUGUGGAGGAUUUGCACUGUGGUCUGGCUCACCCCAGAGUUUCACACACACAGUUCAACACAUCCCCCAAGCAAGCCAGCAUCUGUUUUCCUAAAGGAACCCACAAUGGUCCCCUGUGUGCUGUGCCGGCUCCGAGCCAGGCUGCCUACCAAGGAGUAAAGGACGAAAUCAUCAGACACAGAGUCCCUACCCCAGCCAUGUUCCUGCCUCUCCCCAUCCCCUGCCUGGUCCUCACCAGUCUGUGUACCGACAGGAAGGCCUUCCUGCCUCCAGGAAACUCACAGAGGGUCUGGAGGGAGCUGUCCCCACUGGGUCCAAGUGGGUAGACUGGGCCUGGAGAAGGAAGGA